rnacentral:rRNA from 1 species
GAAACUACGCCUAUAUGAAGUCGGAAUUGCUAGUAAUCGCAGAUCAGCAUGCUGCGGUGAAUACGUUCCCGGGCCUUGUACACACCGCCCGUCACACCAUGGAAGUCUGCAAUGCCCGAAGCCGGUGGCCUAACCACUUAUGUGGAAGGAGCCGUCUAAGGCAGGGCAGAUGACUGGGGUGAAGUCGUAACAAGGUAAC